rnacentral:tRNA from 3 species
GCGGGAGUGGCGGAAUUGGCAGACGCGCCAGACUUAGGAUCUGGUACCGCAAGGUGUGGAGGUUCAAGUCCUCUCUCCCGCA